rnacentral:rRNA from 1 species
UGGGGAAUAUUGCACAAUGGAGGGAACUCUGAUGCAGCGACGCCGCGUGAACGAAGAAGGCUUUCGAGUCGUAAAGUUCUUUUAUAUGGGAAGAUAAUGACGGUACCAUAAGAAAAAGCCCCGGCUAACUACGUGCCAGCAGCCGCGGUAAUACGUAGGGGGCUAGCGUUGUCCGGAAUCACUGGGCGUAAAGGGUUCGCAGGCGGAAAUGCAAGUCAGGUGUAAAAGGCAGUAGCUUAACUACUGUAAGCAUUUGAAACUGCAUAUCUUGAGAAGAGUAGAGGUAAGUGGAAUUUUUAGUGUAGCGGUGAAAUGCGUAGAUAUUAAAAAUAAUACCGGUGGCGAAGUCGACUUACUGGGCUCAUUCUGACGCUGAGGAACGAAAGCGUGGGUAGCAAACAGG